GAUUAGGUGGCUGAAGUUAGGCGAUAGAUUGUAAAUCUAUGUAUGAGAAUACUCUCCUUAAUUA
rnacentral:tRNA from 1 species